rnacentral:rRNA from 1 species
AACGCGAAGAACCUUACCUGGUCUUGACAUCCACGGAAGUUUUCAGAGAUGAAAAUGUGCCUUCGGGAACCGUGAGACAGGUGCUGCAUGGCUGUCGUCAGCUCGUGUUGUGAAAUGUUGGGUUAAGUCCCGCAACGAGCGCAACCCUUAUCCUUUGUUGCCAGCGGUCCGGCCGGGAACUCAAAGGAGACUGCCAGUGAUAAACUGGAGGAAGGUGGGGAUGACGUCAAGUCAUCAUGGCCCUUACGACCAGGGCUACACACGUGCUACAAUGGCGCAUACAAAGAGAAGCGACCUCGCGAGAGCAAGCGGACCUCAUAAAGUGCGUCGUAGUCCGGAUUGGAGUCUGCAACUCGACUCCAUGAAGUCGGAAUCGCUAGUAAUCGUGGAUCAGAAUGCCACGGUGAAUACGUUCCCGGGUCUUGUACACACGC